UACGUAGGGUGCAAGCGUUGUCCGGAAUUAUUGGGCGUAAAGAGCUCGUAGGCGGUCUGUCGCGUCGGCUGUGAAAACCCGGGGCUCAACCCCGGGCCUGCAGUCGAUACGGGCAGACUAGAGUGUGGUAGGGGAGACUGGAAUUCCUGGUGUAGCGGUGAAAUGCGCAGAUAUCAGGAGGAACACCGAUGGCGAGGCAGGUCUCUGGGCCAUUACUGACACUGAGAAGCGAAAGCAUGGGGAGCGAACAGG
rnacentral:rRNA from 1 species